CCUACGGGAGGCAGCAGUGAGGAAUAUUGGUCAAUGGACGAGAGUCUGAACCAGCCAAGUAGCGUGAAGGAUGACUGCCCUAUGGGUUGUAAACUUCUUUUAUAUGGGAAUAAAAUGUUCCACGUGUGGGAUUUUGUAUGUACCAUAUGAAUAAGGAUCGGCUAACUCCGUGCCAGCAGCCGCGGUAAUACGGAGGAUCCGGGCGUAAUCCGGAUUUAUUGGGUUUAAAGGGAGCGUAGGUGGAUUGUUAAGUCAGUUGUGAAAGUUUGCGGCUAAACCGGUAAAUUGCAGUUGAAACUGGCAGUCUUGAGUGCGGUAGAGGUGGGAGGAAUGUGUGGUGUAGCGGUGAAAUGCAUAGAUAUCACGCAGAACUCCGAUUGCGAAGGCAGUUCACUGGACUGCAACUGACGCUGAGGCACGAAAGUGUGGGUAUCAAACAGGAUUAGAUACCCCAGUAGUC
rnacentral:rRNA from 1 species